rnacentral:rRNA from 1 species
UUAAGCGACUAAGCGUACACGGUGGAUGCCCUGGCAGAGGAUGAAGGACGUGCUAAUCUGCGAUAAGCGUCGGUAAGGUGAUAUGAACCGUUAUAACCGGCGAUUUCCGAAUGGGGAAACCCAGUGUGUUUCGACACACUAUCAUUAACUGAAUCCAUAGGUUAAUGAGGCGAACCGGGGGAACUGAAACAUCUAAGUACCCCGAGGAAAAGAAAUCAACCGAGAUUCCCCCAGUAGCGGCGAGCGAACGGGGAGCAGCCCAGAGCCUGAAUCAGUGUGUGUGUUAGUGGAAGCGUCUGGAAAGGCGCGCGAUACAGGGUGACAGCCCCGUACACAAAAAUGCACAUACUGUGAGCUCGAUGAGUAGGGCGGGACACGUGGUAUCCUGUCUGAAUAUGGGGGGACCAUCCUCCAAGGCUAAAUACUCCUGACUGACCGAUAGUGAACCAGUACCGUGAGGGAAAGGCGAAAAGAACCCCGGCGAGGGGAGUGAAAAAGAACCUGAAACCGUGUACGUACAAGCAGUGGGAGCACGCUUCGGCGUGUGACUGCGUACCUUUUGUAUAAUGGGUCAGCGACUUAUAUUCUGUAGCAAGGUUAACCGAAUAGGGGAGCCGAAGGGAAACCGAGUCUUAACUGGGCGUUAAGUUGCAGGGUAUAGACCCGAAACCCGGUGAUCUAGCCAUGGGCAGGUUGAAGGUUGGGUAACACUAACUGGAGGACCGAACCGACUAAUGUUGAAAAAGCGGAAUUGUGGCUGGGGGUGAAAGGCCAAUCAAACCGGGAGAUAGCUGGUUCUCCCCGAAAGCUAUUUAGGUAGCGCCUCGUGAAUUCAUCUCCGGGGGUAGAGCACUGUUUCGGCAAGGGGGUCAUCCCGACUUACCAACCCGAUGCAAACUGCGAAUACCGGAGAAUGUUAUCACGGGAGACACACGGCGGGUGCUAACGUCCGUCGUGAAGAGGGAAACAACCCAGACCGCCAGCUAAGGUCCCAAAGUCAUGGUUAAGUGGGAAACGAUGUGGGAAGGCCCAGACAGCCAGGAUGUUGGCUUAGAAGCAGCCAUCAUUUAAAGAAAGCGUAAUAGCUCACUGGUCGAGUCGGCCUGCGCGGAAGAUGUAACGGGGCUAAACCAUGCACCGAAGCUGCGGCAGCGACACUAUGUGUUGUUGGGUAGGGGAGCGUUCUGUAAGCCUGUGAAGGUGUGCUGUGAGGCAUGCUGGAGGUAUCAGAAGUGCGAAUGCUGACAUAAGUAACGAUAAAGCGGGUGAAAAGCCCGCUCGCCGGAAGACCAAGGGUUCCUGUCCAACGUUAAUCGGGGCAGGGUGAGUCGACCCCUAAGGCGAGGCCGAAAGGCGUAGUCGAUGGGAAACAGGUUAAUAUUCCUGUACUUGGUGUUACUGCGAAGGGGGGACGGAGAAGGCUAUGUUGGCCGGGCGACGGUUGUCCCGGUUUAAGCGUGUAGGCUGGUUUUCCAGGCAAAUCCGGAAAAUCAAGGCUGAGGCGUGAUGACGAGGCACUACGGUGCUGAAGCAACAAAUGCCCUGCUUCCAGGAAAAGCCUCUAAGCAUCAGGUAACAUUAAAUCGUACCCCAAACCGACACAGGUGGUCAGGUAGAGAAUACCAAGGCGCUUGAGAGAACUCGGGUGAAGGAACUAGGCAAAAUGGUGCCGUAACUUCGGGAGAAGGCACGCUGAUAUGUAGGUGAAGUCCCUCGCGGAUGGAGCUGAAAUCAGUCGAAGAUACCAGCUGGCUGCAACUGUUUAUUAAAAACACAGCACUGUGCAAACACGAAAGUGGACGUAUACGGUGUGACGCCUGCCCGGUGCCGGAAGGUUAAUUGAUGGGGUUAGCGGUAACGCGAAGCUCUUGAUCGAAGCCCCGGUAAACGGCGGCCGUAACUAUAACGGUCCUAAGGUAGCGAAAUUCCUUGUCGGGUAAGUUCCGACCUGCACGAAUGGCGUAAUGAUGGCCAGGCUGUCUCCACCCGAGACUCAGUGAAAUUGAACUCGCUGUGAAGAUGCAGUGUACCCGCGGCAAGACGGAAAGACCCCGUGAACCUUUACUAUAGCUUGACACUGAACAUUGAGCCUUGAUGUGUAGGAUAGGUGGGAGGCUUUGAAGUGUGGACGCCAGUCUGCAUGGAGCCGACCUUGAAAUACCACCCUUUAAUGUUUGAUGUUCUAACGUUGACCCGUAAUCCGGGUUGCGGACAGUGUCUGGUGGGUAGUUUGACUGGGGCGGUCUCCUCCUAAAGAGUAACGGAGGAGCACGAAGGUUGGCUAAUCCUGGUCGGACAUCAGGAGGUUAGUGCAAUGGCAUAAGCCAGCUUGACUGCGAGCGUGACGGCGCGAGCAGGUGCGAAAGCAGGUCAUAGUGAUCCGGUGGUUCUGAAUGGAAGGGCCAUCGCUCAACGGAUAAAAGGUACUCCGGGGAUAACAGGCUGAUACCGCCCAAGAGUUCAUAUCGACGGCGGUGUUUGGCACCUCGAUGUCGGCUCAUCACAUCCUGGGGCUGAAGUAGGUCCCAAGGGUAUGGCUGUUCGCCAUUUAAAGUGGUACGCGAGCUGGGUUUAGAACGUCGUGAGACAGUUCGGUCCCUAUCUGCCGUGGGCGCUGGAGAACUGAGGGGGGCUGCUCCUAGUACGAGAGGACCGGAGUGGACGCAUCACUGGUGUUCGGGUUGUCAUGCCAAUGGCACUGCCCGGUAGCUAAAUGCGGAAGAGAUAAGUGCUGAAAGCAUCUAAGCACGAAACUUGCCCCGAGAUGAGUUCUCCCUGACUCCUUGAGAGUCCUGAAGGAACGUUGAAGACGACGACGUUGAUAGGCCGGGUGUGUAAGCGCAGCGAUGCGUUGAGCUAACCGGUACUAAUGAACCGUGAGGCUUAACCUU